rnacentral:rRNA from 1 species
ACUGCAUCCGAUACUGGCUAACUAGAGUGUGGGAGAGGAAGGUAGAAUUCCAGGUGUAGCGGUGAAAUGCGUAGAGAUCUGGAGGAAUACCGAUGGCGAAGGCAGCCUUCUGGCCUAACACUGACGCUGAGGUGCGAAAGCAUGGGGAGCAAACAGGAUUAGAUACCCUGGUAGUCCAUGCUGUAAACGAUGUCAACUAGCCGUUGGGGACCUUGAGUCUUUAGUGGCGCAGCUAACGCGAUAAGUUGACCGCCUGGGGAGUACGGUCGCAAGACUAAAACUCAAAUGAAUUGACGGGGGCCCGCACAAGCGGUGGAGCAUGUGGUUUAAUUCGAUGCAACGCGAAGAACCUUACCUGGCCUUGACAUGUCUGGAAUCCUGCAGAGAUGCGGGAGUGCCUUCGGGAAUCAGAACACAGGUGCUGCAUGGCUGUCGUCAGCUCGUGUCGUGAGAUGUUGGGUUAAGUCCCGCAACGAGC